rnacentral:rRNA from 1 species
UACGUAGGUGGCAAGCGUUGUCCGGAAUUACUGGGCGUAAAGGGCGUGUAGGCGGCAAUCUAAGUCAGGCGUGAAAGAUCAGGGCUUAACCUUGGGACUGCGUUUGAAACUGGAUGGCUAGAGGAUCGGAGAGGGCAGUGGAAUUCCCAGUGUAGCGGUGAAAUGUGUAGAUAUUGGGAGGAACACCAGUGGCGAAGGCGACUGCCUGGACGGCACCUGACGCUGAGGCGCGAAAGCUAGGGGAGCAAACGGG